rnacentral:tRNA from 1 species
AGAAGCUUAGGUUAAACAAACCAUGGGCCUUCAAAGCCCAAAACACGAGUCCUCAUCCUCAUAGCUCCUG